ensembl:lncRNA
GAGUGUGUGCAGCAGCUUGACCUGAGACAUUUGGUUUCUAUCUCAAUGGAUGGACCAAAUGUCAAUUGGAAGUUUUUCUCAAUGCUCCAAUAGGAGCAUGCAGAUGCAUUUGGAGGUGCCCAGCUGAUUGUGGGCUAUCACCAUAUGGCCAAUGAUGGUGAAGUAUGUGGAUGCAGUGACACAGAAAAAGCUUCCAAACCCUAGAACAUCCUCCUAUGACACUCUUGCAGAGGCACGGAAUGACCCUCUCAUAAUGGCCAAGCUGCACUUCUUUAUGGCUGUCUCUAGGACCUUCACCACAUUUCUGACUAAGUAUCAGACAGAUGAGCCGGUGAUUCCAUUCAUCGGUAAAGAUCUGGCUGUUCUCAUGAAGAGCCUACUGAAGAGGUUCAUCAAGGCAGAGAUCCUUAAUGACAUCACAGCACUGCAAAUGGUCAAACUGGACACAACUGCCAAGGAAGCAAGGGCUGGCCUAAAGGCUGUGGACAUUGGAUUAGGAGCAGAAGUAGUCCUAAAGGUAAAGGCAAAGGUGUCAAAUAUCAAACAAUGGUUAAGGUACAGGAAAUCAAAACUUUUAGUCAGUCUCACAGGCCCUCCUCCC